rnacentral:rRNA from 1 species
GGGUUGUGAGGUUAAGCGACUAAGCGUACACGGUGGAUGCCCUGGCAGUCAGAGGCGAUGAAGGGCGUGCUAAUCUGCGAUAAGCGCCGGUAAGGUGAUAUGAACCGUUAUAACCGGCGAUACCCGAAUGGGGAAACCCAGUGUGACUCGUCACACUAUCAUUAACUGAAUCCAUAGGUUAAUGAGGCGAACCGGGGGAACUGAAACAUCUAAGUACCCCGAGGAAAAGAAAUCAACCGAGAUUCCCCCAGUAGCGGCGAGCGAACGGGGAGGAGCCCAGAGCCUGAAUCAGCAUGUGUGUUAGUGGAAGCGUCUGGAAAGGCGCGCGAUACAGGGUGACAGCCCCGUACACAAAAGCGCAUGUGCUGUGAGCUCGAUGAGUAGGGCGGGACACGUGGUAUCCUGUCUGAAUAUGGGGGGACCAUCCUCCAAGGCUAAAUACUCCUGACUGACCGAUAGUGAACCAGUACCGUGAGGGAAAGGCGAAAAGAACCCCGGCGAGGGGAGUGAAAAAGAACCUGAAACCGUGUACGUACAAGCAGUGGGAGCACCCUUUGGGUGUGACUGCGUACCUUUUGUAUAAUGGGUC